AUCAAGUCAGAGAAAUGAGAUUGAACAAGAGUGGAGGUAAAAAUGUUUUGAUUUUUUUUUGGGGGGGGGUUGGUUGGUUUUUACAUUAAACCUAGAGCCAUUUGCUUCAGAAAAUGAAGCACUACUACAGUGAUGUCUAUUUGUACAGUGUGUGGACAGUUUGGGACGAGCUACCUUCUGGCUGGUUCCCUGAUUUACUGUCAGAAAUGGUCAAGUCACAGUUCCCGUGUGGCUAAGUUAUUCAUCUUCUUGGGAAGCCCAUGAACUGUCAGGACGUCCCAGAGAGGGCAACCCAUCAAACAAUUUGUGAAAAUCAAUAUAGGCUACAAAGAAGCACUACAAUUUGGUGCUUGCAUUUCAUGAGUACUCAGGGAGCUGGGGUACGUUCGGUCGAUGGUUGACUUCUUUUCACAGGAGGUCCAGAUUUUAAGCGUGAGUUGAAUCAAAACAUAGAGUGCAUAAGAUGUGAAAAAAAAAACGCGUGCUUUGA